rnacentral:lncRNA from 1 species
GAUCUUUUCAUUUACCUCAAGAUCGUAAUUUCUUGAGCUGACGCGAAUUCGAUGUAAAAUAUCUUCGGACAUGCUAUCUUUGUAUUUGUUCCACAGGUCAAGUGGGUUCGAUGGGAAGCAUGUUGAAAUGAUGAUAGCAAAUAAUGUGCGUAUCUGACUUGGAGAUGCAGAAAUAAUUGCUUCAGCGAUUGUCGUGUCCCAAUGAGUAUCGUUUUCCAGCAAAUUGCUCUUGACAUGCUGCACGAAUUCAAAUGAUUCAAAUGAUGUUGGCCCUCGAACAUGUACCAGCAACAACCGCAAAUAGAAACAUUCAUCAUUCUUCGGAUGAACUGUGUAAAUACGACCAAUAGCAUCAGUGGAACGCAUAUCUGUCGAUGGUGCAAUCAUACAGACACGCUGCUCGAUUCAAACCAUUUCUUCUUGCACUUUGAAGAUUAUUCAUCUGUUCUUCUGUACGAUAAGCUCGACAAUUUCUCUCUCUUUGCUCUUGUGUGUGAGAAGCACGAAUUAAGGCCCUUCUUUGCUCCAUAUUAACGCGGCGCUGUUCUCGUGCAAUUUCAGAUAAUUGACUCGCGAUAUUCCGUUGCCUAAUUGCAUUACGGCUUCGCUGGGAAAGAUUGGAUCUUCUAGGACGCGGCAUUGUUAUUAAUAUGAUUAAUACAA